rnacentral:rRNA from 1 species
UACAGAGGUCCCGAGCGUUGUUCGGAUUCAUUGGGCGUAAAGGGUGCGUAGGCGGCGGGGCAAGUCUGAUGUGAAAUCCCGGGGCUCAACCCCGGAACUGCAUUGGAUACUGCCCUGCUCGAGUACUGGAGAGGGAACUGGAAUUUACGGUGUAGCAGUGAAAUGCGUAGAGAUCGUAAGGAAGGCCGGUGGCGAAGGCGAGUUCCUGGACAGUUACUGACGCUGAGGCACGAAGGUCAGGGGAGCAAACGGG